AAGUAACCAUUUGUCGAUUUACGCAAUACUCUCAAGUAGUUUCACCAAGCGAAGGUCACGUUCCUUUCCCAUCGACAAGAACUUUUAGUUCUGCCACCUUUGAUUGUCUUAUUUAAUUUUGUAAAGAGCAAGAAAGCACUCAUUUUUAAUCGCUUUUCCCCUUUCAUUCUUCUCUCGGAGUUUCAUUUGUAGAUGAGAACUCGACGUUUGGCUCUAGUAGCAGUACUUGCAUGUGGUGAUGCCGAAAC
rnacentral:lncRNA from 1 species